GUGGUGAACAGCACAGAAACAGCCUCUCAGUGAUUUGGUGUCCAGAGGCUGAAAAAAAGCAAUGUGAGGAAGGGAAGAAGGACGGAAGUGGGUCCUGGGGACUAGCAAGGAUCUGAAGCAAGAAUCAAAGCUCACAGGGAGAGCAAAGAGAAAGAUUUCAACAAAGGAAGAGGAGGCAGGCAGUGCCUUCUCCCUGAACCCUGCCUGACUCACCAUGUGGGAGGUGUAGGAGGGGCAGCCACAUCUCCAGAUGCACAGUGACUACUGGUGACCCUGCAGGUGUCCAUGGAGAGUCUCACCAGUGGAAUAGAGCAGUGGACCCAGUGGGCUGCAGUGGCUGGAGCUCUAGUUGUCAUCUUCACCUUGCACACCAUUUCCUGGCUUCCAGUGUAGACUUUUCAGUUUCUGGCACAGAUCCUUCAGUUUUCUGGUGUAAACUCUUCAGCCUUCCACUGCAGACUCACUGGCUUCCUGACAUAGAUUUGCAUGGGACACUGUAAUGAGCUCCAGACCUUGGACUGAAUUCUUCUCCACUGUGCAGACAGACCCCACUGUUUCUCAACUGAUUCUGUGAGUAGCCAUUGUAAGA
rnacentral:lncRNA from 1 species